UACGUAGGGACCAAGCGUUGUUCGGAUUUACUGGGCGUAAAGGGCGCGUAGGCGGCGUGACAAGUCACUUGUGAAAUCUCUGAGCUUAACUCAGAACGGCCAAGAGAAACUGUUGUGGCUAGAGUGCAGAAGGGGCAAUCGAAUUCUUGGUGUAGCGGUGAAAUGACGUAGAUAUCAAGAGGAACACCUGGAGGUGAAGACGGGGUUGCUGGGCUGACACUGACGUGAGGC
rnacentral:rRNA from 1 species